rnacentral:rRNA from 1 species
AGAGUUUGAUCCUGGCUCAGACCCNUNANUGGCGGUAGGCUUAACACAUGCAAGUCGAGCGACGCGUAAUAGUCGAGCGGCGAACGGGUGAGUAAUACUUGGGAAUCUACCCUGAAGUGGGGGAUAACGUUCAGAAAUGGACGCUAAUACCGCAUAAUCCACAUUGGGAAAGCGUUGCAGCGCUUUAGGAUGAGCCCAAGUCUGAUUAGCUAGUUGGUGGGGUAACGGCCCACCAAGGCGAAGAUCGGUAGCCGGCCUGAGAGGGCACACGGCCACACUGGCACUGAAACACGGGCCAGACUCCUACGGGAGGCAGCAGUGGGGAAUCUUGCACAAUGGAGGAAACUCUGAUGCAGCGACGCCGCGUGAGCGAUGAAGCCCUUCGGGGUGUAAAGCUCUUUCGACGGGAACGAUAAUGACGGUACCCGAAGAAGAAGCUGCGGCUAACUACGUGCCAGCAGCCGCGGUAAUACGUAGGCAGCAAGCGUUGUUCGGAAUUACUGGGCGUAAAGAGUGUGUAGGCGGUGCUCUAAGUCUGUCGUGAAAUCUCCCGGCUUAACUGGGAGGGUGCGGCGGAAACUGGAGUGCUUGAGGAUGGGAGAGGUAAGCGGAAUUCCUGGUGUAGCGGUGAAAUGCGUAGAUAUCAGGAGGAACACCUGUGGUGUAGACAGCUUACUGGACCAUAUCUGACGCUGAGACACGAAAGCGUG